GACGAACGCUGGCGGCGUGCUUAACACAUACAAGUCGAACGGAAAGGCCCUGCUUGCAGGGUACUCGAGUGGCGAACGGGUGAGUAACACGUGGGUGAUCUGCCCUGCACUUCGGGAUAAGCCUGGGAAACUGGGUCUAAUACCGGAUAGGAGCCAUUUUUAGUGUGAUGGUUGGAAAGUUUUUUCGGUGUAGGAUGAGCUCGCGGCCUAUCAGCUUGUUGGUGGGGUAAUGGCCUACCAAGGCGGCGACGGGUAGCCGGCCUGAGAGGGUGGACGGCCACAUUGGGACUGAGAUACGGCCCAGACUCCUACGGGAGGCAGCAGUGGGGAAUAUUGCACAAUGGGCGCAAGCCUGAUGCGGCGACGCCGCGUGGGGGAUGACGGCCUUCGGGUUGGAAACUCCUUUCGCUAGGGACGAAGCUUUUUGUGACGGUACCUAGAUAAGAAGCACCGGCUAACUACGUG
rnacentral:rRNA from 1 species